rnacentral:rRNA from 1 species
CUUACCAUGCAAGUCGAACGGAAAGGCCCUUCGGGGUACUCGAGUGGCGAACGGGUGAGUAACACGUGGGUGAUCUGCCCUGCACUUUGGGAUAAGCCUGGGAAACUGGGUCUAAUACCGAAUAUGACCGCGCACUUCCUGGUGUGUGGUGGAAAGCUUUUGCGGUGUGGGAUGGGCCCGCGGCCUAUCAGCUUGUUGGUGGGGUAAUGGCCUACCAAGGCGACGACGGGUAGCCGGCCUGAGAGGGUGACCGGCCACACUGGGACUGAGAUACGGCCCAGACUCCUACGGGAGGCAGCAGUGGGGAAUAUUGCACAAUGGGCGCAAGCCUGAUGCAGCGACGCCGCGUGAGGGAUGACGGCCUUCGGGUUGUAAACCUCUUUCAAUAGGGACGAAGCGCAAGUGACGGUACCUAUAGAAGAAGGACCGGCCAACUACGUGCCAGCAGCCGCGGUAAUACGUAGGGUCCGAGCGUUGUCCGGAAUUACUGGGCGUAAAGAGCUCGUAGGUGGUUUGUCGCGUUGUUCGUGAAAACUCACAGCUUAACUGUGGGCGUGCGGGCGAUACGGGCAGACUAGAGUACUGCAGGGGAGACUGGAAUUCCUGGUGUAGCGGUGGAAUGCGCAGAUAUCAGGAGGAACACCGGUGGCGAAGGCGGGUCUCUGGGCAGUAACUGACGCUGAGGAGCGAAAGCGUGGGGAGCGAACAGGAUUAGAUACCCUGGUAGUCCACGCCGUAAACGGUGGGUACUAGGUGUGGGUUUCCUUCCUUGGGAUCCGUGCCGUAGCUAACGCAUUAAGUACCCCGCCUGGGGAGUACGGCCGCAAGGCUAAAACUCAAAGAAAUUGACGGGGGCCCGCACAAGCGGCGGAGCAUGUGGAUUAAUUCGAUGCAACGCGAAGAACCUUACCUGGGUUUGACAUGCACAGGACGCCAGUAGAGAUAUUGGUU